rnacentral:rRNA from 1 species
CCUACGGGAGGCAGCAGUGGGGAAUUUUGGACAAUGGGCGCAAGCCUGAUCCAGCUAUUCCGCGUGUGGGAUGACGGCCCUCGGGUUGUAAACCACUUUAGUAGAGAACGAAAAGGAGCUAUCGAAUAAAUAGCUCUGCUGACGGUACUCUAAGAAUAAGCAUCGGCUAACUCCGUGCCAGCAGCCGCGGUAAUACGGAGGAUGCGAGCGUUAUCCGGAUUUAUUGGGUUUAAAGGGUGCGUAGGCGGGAUGCCAAGUCAGCGGUAAAAAUGCGGUGCUCAACGCCGUCGAGCCGUUGAAACUGG